GCUGUAAGCGGGGUGAUAUAGAAUCACUUUUUGACAUUUCAUGUAAGAAAUUCGUAUUCUCUAAGCUCAACAGCCUACAGCUUCGAUUACAGCCUCGGCGAACGCCUACAACUUUUAAUGUCAAACGAAAAGCUACUAUUUCGUGGCUGUCGCCAAAGAUUUUCGUCCAUUUAGAUUGUGUU